ACUCCUACGGGAGGCAGCAGUGGGGAAUCUUGGACAAUGGGGGCAACCCUGAUCCAGCAAUGCCGCGUGGGUGAAGAAGGCCUUCGGGUUGUAAAGCCCUUUCGGCAGGGAAGAAAUCGGCGGGGCGAAUAACCCUGCUGGAUGACGGUACCUGCAGAAGAAGCACCGGCUAACUACGUGCCAGCAGCCGCGGUAAUACGUAGGGUGCGAGCGUUAAUCGGAUUUACUGGGCGUAAAGCGUGCGCAGGCGGCCCGUUAAGACAGGUGUGAAAUCCCUGGGCUCAACCUAGGAAUUGCGCUUGUGACUGGCGGGCUCGAGUACGGUAGAGGGGGUGGAAUUCCUGGUGUAGGCAGUGAAAUGCGUAGAGAUCAGGAGGAACACCGAUGGCGAAGGCAGCCCCUGGCCUGUACUGACGCUCCAUGCACGAAGCGUGGGGAGCAAAGCAGGAUUAGAUACCCUGGUAAGGCGUAGGA
rnacentral:rRNA from 1 species